rnacentral:rRNA from 1 species
UGGGGAAUAUUGCACAAUGGGCGCAAGCCUGAUGCAGCCAUGCCGCGUGUAUGAAGAAGGCCUUCGGGUUGUAAAGUACUUUCAGCGGGGAGGAAGGCGAUGAGGUUAAUAACCUCACCGAUUGACGUUACCCGCAGAAGAAGCACCGGCUAACUCCGUGCCAGCAGCCGCGGUAAUACGGAGGGUGCAAGCGUUAAUCGGAAUUACUGGGCGUAAAGCGCACGCAGGCGGUCUGUUAAGUCAGAUGUGAAAUCCCCGGGCUUAACCUGGGAACUGCAUUUGAAACUGGCAGGCUUGAGUCUUGUAGAGGGGGGUAGAAUUCCAGGUGUAGCGGUGAAAUGCGUAGAGAUCUGGAGGAAUACCGGUGGCGAAGGCGGCCCCCUGGACAAAGACUGACGCUCAGGUGCGAAAGCGUGGGGAGCAAACAG